UACGAAGGCAGCAGGGGGAAUAUUGCACAAUGGGCGCAAGCCUGAUGCAGCCAUGCCGCGUGUAUGAAAAGGCCUUCGGGUUGUAAAGUACUUUCAGUCGUGAGGAAGGUGUUAAGGUUAAUAACCUUAGCAAUUGACGUUAGCGACAGAAGAAGCACCGGCUAACUCCGUGCCAGCAGCCGCGGUAAUACGGAGGGUGCGAGCGUUAAUCGGAAUUACUGGGCGUAAAGGGCACGCAGGCGGUUAAUUAAGUUGGAUGUGAAAUCCCCGGGCUUAACCUGGGAAUGGCAUUCAAGACUGGUUAGCUAGAGUCUUGUAGAGGGGGUAGAAUUCCAUGUGUAGCGGUGAAAUGCGUAGAGAUGUGGAGGAAUACCGGUGGCGAAGGCGGCCCCUGGACAAAGACUGACGCUCAUGUGCGAAAGCGUGGGGAGCAAACAGGGAUUAGAUACC
rnacentral:rRNA from 1 species